CCUACGGGAGGCAGCAGUAGGGAAUAUUGGGCAAUGGAUGCAAGUCUGACCCAGCCAUGCCGCGUGGAGGAAGAAGGUCCUCUGGAUUGUAAACUCCUUUUGUCGGGGAAGAAUAGUUCUCUUGCGAGGGAAAGUGACGGUACCCGAUGAAUAAGCCACGGCUAACUACGUGCCAGCAGCCGCGGUAAU
rnacentral:rRNA from 1 species